CCCCUCCUUGAUGAUUGACAAUAUCCAUAACCAAUCGUUGCGUUCACGAGCUCACAGAUGUCCCAAUAGCUGAAUAGCAUGACGGUGUGGGGCGGAUCAUAUAAUUCAACGAGAGGAAGAGAUGGGAUUUGUCUUUGUGUUGACAUAUUGAUUGCGGCGAGGUACAGUAAGACCUGAACCUGCCAGCCGGAUUAGCCUAGUUUUCAGUGCAAUAGAACCUGUAUUCCCAUACCUGCCAGUGAUAUUCUUGGCAUUUUUUGCCUUUAAUGUCCACAAAAUAUUCAAGAGGAAGCUGAUGAAGGCAUCACUGAAGAAGUCUGACAUGCUGAACGCAUCCGCCAUGCUGUCAGAGCUGUUCAUACAUCUGAAGAGUGUGGAGGUUAGGCUGCUGGCCCUGGAGAAGAAGCUUCAGGCGGUCGACGAGGAGCGGAGAAGACUGGGGAAAGUAACUCGAAACACAGGGGCCAGGAACUAACCCACUGUGACGCUGUGGAGUCUUCCUCGUGUUGCUACUCAUCCAUAGAGUGAAGAUGAGGGCAACCACUCAGGAGUGCUGAGUCAGGCAUUGGAGCCUGUUCUAUUCUUGAACCUUAAAUAUCUGCUUCAAAAAUCAGUAAAAUAUGACUUAGUUCCAAACUACAUUUAGCUUUCUUUUGUCUUUUGAUGCUAUUCUGUACUAUGCUU